rnacentral:lncRNA from 1 species
UUGACCAUGGCUCCCAAUGAAAUUGAGCAGAGAUUGUUGGGCGUGAAGCAUUUGAAAAUGAAGAGCAGAAGCGUACUAAAACAAACAGAGAUACAACAGAAUUUGAAAGACAAAGAUUCAAGCUCGCCAACCAAUUAGUGAAUCAACUGUAUCAAGUUGGGGCAGAGAUAAGGAAAACCUCUAAAGAAUUCAAGGCCACAAACCAACCACCAAUUUUAAAACUCACAAUUUUUUUCUCUCUUUGCUUGAACAGGGGCAAAGCAAUCUUGUGAAUUUUAGGAAAAAAAAAAGUAUAGCAAAGUUAAGUUUUCUUGAAUUUUCUCUCUUAGCUAUACUCCUAUAAUUCUAAGUCCGUACCAAUAUAAUAAUAAUAAGACCCCUUAUAUUCAAGACUGGGCAUUUUUUUUUCUUUUUCUAACCAAAAAAAAAAAAAAAAAAAAAUUCCUCAUCUUAUUUCGUCUCCAUAGGGCGCCAUCCCCUAGUUGACAUCUUAUUAGUCUUCAUAGGGCGCCAUCCCCUAGUUGACAUCUUAUUUCGUCUUCAUAGGGCGUCAUCCCCUAGUUGACAUCUUNNNNN